UAACAGCUGGAAAGCACCAUGGCACACA
rnacentral:piRNA from 1 species